CCCUUAGAUGUUCUGGGCCGCACGCGCGCUACACUGAUGCAUUCAACGAGCCUAUCCUUGACCGACAGGUCCGGGUAAUCUUUGAAUCUGCAUCGUGACGGGGAUAGAUUAUUGCAAUUAUUAAUCUUCAACGAGGAAUGCCUAGUAGGCGCAAGUCAUCAGCUUGCGUCGAUUACGUCCCUGCCCUUUGUACACACCGCCCGUCGCUCCUACCGAUUGAACGGUUUAGUGAGGGCCUCGGAUUGGUCUCGGCCCGCUCUUCACCGGGCGGCGCCGUUGGUCGAGAAGACGCUCGAACUUGAUCGUUUAGAGGAAGUAAAAGUCGUAACA
rnacentral:rRNA from 1 species